rnacentral:rRNA from 1 species
GACGAACGCUGGCGGCGUGCUUAACACAUGCAAGUCGAACGGAAAGGCCCUGCUUGCAGGGUACUCGAGUGGCGAACGGGUGAGUAACACGUGGGUGAUCUGCCCUGCACUUCGGGAUAAGCUUGGGAAACUGGGUCUAAUACCGGAUAGGAGCCAUCUUUAGUGUGGUGGUUGGAAAGUUUUUUCGGUGUAGGAUGAGCUCGCGGCCUAUCAGCUUGUUGGUAGGGUAAUGGCCUACCAAGGCGGCGACGGGUAGCCGGCCUGAGAGGGUGUACGGCCACAUUGGGACUGAGAUACGGCCCAGACUCCUACGGGAGGCAGCAGUGGGGAAUAUUGCACAAUGGGCGCAAGCCUGAUGCAGCGACGCCGCGUGGGGGAUGAAGGCCUUCGGGUUGUAAACUCCUUUCGCUAGGGACGAAGCUUUUUUGUGACGGUACCUAGAUAAGAAGCACCGGCUAACUACGUG